ensembl:lncRNA
AUGAUGUUGUUGUUUGAUUUACAGAUGGAUAUUACUUGGCAGGUAGAAGCAUUUUCAUGUGGAAGAGCAACAACCUUAGCGAGUCUUGCUCUGUCGCCUAGGCUGGAGUGCAGUGGCACAAUCUCAGUUCACUGCAAACUUCGCCUCCCGGGCCAACGGUCUGCAACCUCAAAACAGAAAGGAGGAGGAGGGUCCAGGAUCAGGCCAACACUGAGAUGUCAGAGGAAUAGGAUCCAGCCAUCCAAGAAUGUUCAGAACCCACUGAACAGACAAAGGGAAAACCAAGAGUGUGAUAUUCCUCAAGACAAAAGAAGAAAGUGGCAGGAAGAAGCUGAAUGAUCAGCUGUGUAGGCUGCUGACAAGAGUUUGGGUAAGGUGAGGGCACACAAAUGACCAUUUGAUAUUACAUCAUGAGUAUUGGUUGGUAACCUCAACUAGAGAAGUUUCUGUAGAUCUCUGGUGUGGAAUCCCGUUUGGAGAACAUUGGAGAAUUAAUGUGAGAUAUGAAUGUAAAAAGGGCAGGGCAGUUACCCUCUUGAGAAGUUUUUCUGAGAAAGAGGAGAAUAAAAAUGGGGCUGUGCUAUUAAAGGGAUAUGAGGUUUUGGAAGAAAUUCUUAAAGAUAAGUUUAUUAGUAUGUUCUCAUGCCCAUAAUGAAGACAUAACCGAGACUGGGUAAUUUACAAAGGGAAGAGGUUUAAUUGACUCAUAGUUCCCCACAGCUGGGGAAGCCUCACAAUCAGAGCAGAAGGCGAACAAGAAACAAAGUCGCGUCUUACAUGGUGGCAGGCAGAGAGCUUGUGUAGGGGAACUCCCCUUUAUAAAACCAUCAGAUCCUGUGAGACUUAUUCACUAUUAUGAGAGCAGCAUGGGAAAGAUCUGCCCCCAUGAUUCAGUUAUCUCCCACAGGGUACCUCCCACAACGCGUGGGAAUUACAAUUCAAGAUGAGAUUUGGGUGGAGACACAGCCAAACCAUUUCAACAGGAGAUUCUAGAGCAAGGUUGUAUGGGUAUGGAAAUGAUACACGAAAAUAGGAGAAAAUAUAAUGUAGAAAACAGGGUGGGGGGACUGCAGGAGAAAAGUCCUUGAGAAGGCAAGAGGGGAUGGCAUCCAGAAUUCAAGAAGUUUGAUCUGCAAUAGAAAUUAGAUAUGUAUUUUUGUUUCAAAAGGAGGGAAUCUAGAGAGUAUGGGUACAGAUGCAAGUUGGUGUAUAGAUUUGGCAGUGGGAGAUUUGGGAGUCAUUGCCUGGGUGCUUCUUUUUUCUCCAUGACUUAUGAGAUAAAGCUGAGGUGGUAGAGAAGGGCAAUGUUGGGCUUUUGAGGAGACAGUAAAAACCUUGUUAAAGUUGUUUUAGAGUGGGAAAAGGAAGAAUGCAUACUAGAUGCUCACAGGAAGAUUGCAGGACAGUGUCGAGUGGCAUCAUUCAUUUACUGAACAAAUAUUCAUUGAAAGUCUACCAUGUUUCAGGUACUAUCCUAGAGGCUAAAAAUACAUCAUGAAAAAACAAGUCCUGGGUUUUAUAUUCUUUUUCCCCCAGAAGUUAUAAUACAGUUAAUUUAUUCGCAACUUUCUUUAUUAUAUUCCAGUUCUAUGAAUACUCCCAGGUCCUCUCCCUGCCCCCUAACCACCACCGCCGGCUUGAGUGAACCUGGAUAUUUCUCAAUACAUCGUCAGUAAGACACAAAUGACGAGUUAGAAUGGUUACAUUUUUAAGAUCCAUCUAUUUAGAUUCAUGAAACAUUGUGGACACCUACUAUGGUCAAGGUAAUUUUUUCUCAGUAUAGGUAAAACCCAGAGGGCUAUAGGGUCAAGUUUGUCAGAUUUGGAUUCCAGCUCCAACUGCUUACUCGUUGUGUGCCUUUAGAUCAUUUAAUUUCGUUGAGCCUUAGGUUCCUCAUCUUAAGAUGGACAUUGUAAGAGCCUGUGUCUCAUAGUUCUCAUAGUUGUGAGUCCUAAUGAGAUUUAUCCAGAGAGCCGAGAAUGAGGCCAGAUGCAUAGUAAGCGCUUGAUGUUACUAGUAUCACUCCUAUAAGGUUCAGCUUCAGAGGAUAACUUUAGUUUCCUUUACUGUAGUCCCUCCACACCUACUGACUGUGGAUGCCAUCUCUUUCCACAACUUUGUCCUGUGAGUGACAAAAUGAUCAAGAGGACAGACCCA